CUCUUCAUAGUUUUCUUUUACAAUGUGAUUGCUGCAUAUAACCAUUGUACAAAUAAUAGGGGUAAAAUAAAAAGUAAACCGAACUAAAAUGCCUUUUACUUGACCGACUUACUUUUUUUUUUGAACUAAAGUAUCCUUGUGGUUACUUGUUACGUUGACGCAGAGCAUAAUAAUAGUAAUAAUAAAAUAAUUUUAAAUUCAUGAACUAAUAAUUUACAUCAUCUUAAAAAAUACAUGUCGAGUCUUUGGGAAGCUUGGCUACCUUAGAACGCUAGGCGAACGAUUGGACCUCAUGGAUAAUCUACUUUCACUUCUCUUUACUCUUUGACCCUCCAGCAAAGAUCUAUAUUUAUCAAA